UGUACAGUUUAAAUCUCCUCCAAUUAUCAAAUUGUAUUGUCCAAAUUCUGGAAUAGUAUUAAAUAUUUUCUUUAAAAAAAGCGGGUUGUCAAAGUUUGGGCCGUUUACAUUUACAAAAAACAUUUUU